UUGGAGGGAAACUCUUCUGGGUCCUUGACGGUAUAAUAUUGACCGGUGCUCAGUAGUUUCGGGAUUGGUCAAGUAUGGUACAAACAGAUAUAAUAAUAACAAAAUGUGCCUAAUGUAUAUAUGCAAAAUAAUUACCUACAAUGAUUGUCAAACAAAUAUAAGAAAUGGAACAGAUGAUGGUAAGACAAGUAUAAAGUAGAUACUUUUGUAAUUUACCUAUAGAAUAAAUGAAUGUUGAUUGAUUGCAAACAACACAUAAUAAAAACAAAUGUGCAUAGUAUAUGUUAUAAUACAUGCAAAAUUAUUUACCUACAAAAUAAAAGGAUGUUUUUAGCCAAUCGAUUCAAAGUUAAUUAAUUACCUAUAUUCUACUUAAAAAUAUAAGUAAUUUAUUUCACACAUAUAUAACAAUAAUGAGAUGUGCCUAAUGUAUACAUGCAAAAUAAUUUACCUACAAUGAUUGUCAAACAAAUAUAAAAAAUGGAAUAGAUGAUGGGAAGACAAGUAUAAAGUAGAUACUUUUGUAAUAAUAAAGCACUUAUUUUCCAUAAUUAUGGUGGAUAAUUAAAUUCAUCAACAUAAUUAGGGUGUUGUGGCACGAUUGUAAAUAUUUUGAAAAUAAUAGGUAUUUAUUUGUUUACAUGGUAGUUUAUUUCAAAUUUGGGUUUUAUUUGGAUGUUUAAAACGAGAUGGGUUUUUGUCAAGAAAAUAAGUGUUGCAUGGGUUUAUAUCUAAAGAAACCUAAAAAAAAGAGUGGAGCCGAGUAGCACAACCACCACCUCGCCACCUCUCUGGCGAACUACACCUAAACCACCAUACCAUAUCCCUCUGUCUCUCUUGUUAUGAAUCUCCCCCCCCUCAAUCUCCCUGUUGUCUCUCUCAUCUUGACAAACACGGGACAACCGUGAGGCUAAGGUCAUCACCAUCGCCGUCUUCCAUGGCAAAUGACCAUCGAAUCAACGUUCCCAAGAUAUCAUAUCAUCUGAAACCUAGUGUAAUACUUUAAAAAUAUUUAAAAUAUGUGGUUAUGUGAAAUUUUUUUUCAGAAAGUGAAAUGACUAAAAUGUCCCUUGUUGACUAAACGUAAUUAUACGAGGACGUAUAUUCACCUCAUAUAUUUUAUUGUAUGUCUUGGCAUAUUUGGAUAGAGCUUGAUCUCAUGAAUGUGUAGGCUUAAACCAUUUAUGAAACGGAGUUAUAACGAAUGAGAUAUGAACGAGCGAAGUUAGGGGUGAAAUGGUCAUUUAACCAUAAUCUGGAUUUUUUGCAGAUAAUUGUGAGGUGCCACGUGUGUGGCAUUGGCAGGG
rnacentral:lncRNA from 1 species